rnacentral:rRNA from 1 species
AACGAACGCUGGCGGCAUGCCUAACACAUGCAAGUCGAACGAGACCUUCGGGUCUAGUGGCGCACGGGUGCGUAACGCGGGGGAACCUGCCCUUAGGUUCGGAAUAACUCCCCGAAGGGGGUGCUAAUGCCGGAUAAUGUCAUCGGACCAACGAGUUAUCGCCGUUGGAUGGGCGCGGGUUGGUUUAGUGGGUUGGUAGGGGAAAAGCAUACCAAGGGGAGGAUCCAUAGCUGGUCUGUGAGGAUGCUCUGCCAGACUGGGACUGAGACACGGCCCAGACUCCUACGGGAGGCAGCAGAAGGGAAUAUUGUAGAAUGGGCGCAAGCCUAGUACAGCAACGCCGCGUGAGUGAGGAAGCCCUUAGGGUUGUAAAGCUCUUUUAGACGGGAUGAUAAUGACAGUACCGGGAGAAUAAGCUCCGGCUAACUCCGUG